rnacentral:SRP_RNA from 1 species
ACCGGUCGCGGGUGGCGCUUGCCUGUAGUCCCAGCUACUGGGAGGUUGAGGUGGGAGGGUCACUUGAGCCCAGGAGUUCCGGCUGUAGUGCGCUAUGCCGAUUGGGUGUCCACACUAAGUUCAGCAUCAGCUGGAGCAUGGGACUGCGAAGUUGCCAAAGGAGGGGUGAACUGGCCCAGGUCGGAAACAGAGCAGGUCAAAGCUCCCGUGCUGAUCAGUAGUGGGUUCUCGCCUGUGAAUAGCCACUGCACUCCAGCCUGAGCAACAUAGCAAAACCCCGUCUCU